GAGUUUGAUCAUGGCUCAGAUUGAACGCUGGCGGCAUGCCUUACACAUGCAAGUCGAACGGCAGCACGGGAGCUUGCUCCUGGGUGGCGAGUGGCGAACGGGUGAGUAAUGCAUCGGAACGUAUCCUGGAGUGGGGGAUAACGUAGCGAAAGUUACGCUAAUACCGCAUAUUCUGUGAGCAGGAAAGCGGGGGACCUUCGGGCCUCGCGCUCUUGGAGCGGCCGAUGUCGGAUUAGCUAGUUGGUGAGGUAAAGGCUCACCAAGGCGACGAUCCGUAGCAGGUCUGAGAGGAUGAUCUGCCACACUGGAACUGAGACACGGUCCAGACUCCUACGGGAGGCAGCAGUGGGGAAUUUUGGACAAUGGGGGCAACCCUGAUCCAGCCAUGCCGCGUGAGUGAAGAAGGCCUCGGUUGUAAGUAC
rnacentral:rRNA from 1 species